GGGCCGGUAGCUCAGUGGCAGAGCAGGCGAUUUUGCAAUCGCCGUGUCGCGGGUUCGAAUUCCGUCCGUCCCA
rnacentral:tRNA from 1 species